rnacentral:rRNA from 1 species
UACGUAGGGUGCGAGCGUUGUCCGGAAUCACUGGGCGUAAAGGGCGCGUAGGCGGCCUGAUAAGUAGGGGGUGAAAUCCUGCGGCUUAACCGCAGGGCUGCCUUCUAAACUGUCAGGCUAGAGCACGGUAGAGGCAGAUGGAAUUCCCGGUGUAGCGGUGGAAUGCGUAGAGAUCGGGAAGAACAUCAGUGGCGAAGGCGGUCUGCUGGGCCGUUGCUGGACGCUGAGGCGCGACAGCGGUGGGGAGCAAACAGG